GUCUUCGUGGAGCAAGGAUGCUCAAUCCCUCUAUAUAACAUGUUUUGCAAAUGAGUGUGGGAUAGUCGGUGGUUCAACUCCACCCGAAGACA